rnacentral:rRNA from 1 species
CAGUAGCCGCGGUAAUACAGAGGGUGCAAGCGUUAAUCGGAAUUACUGGGCGUAAAGCGCGCGUAGGUGGUUCGCCAAGUUGGAUGUGAAAUCCCCGGGCUCAACCUGGGAACUGCAUCCAAAACUGGCGAGCUAGAGUAUGGUAGAGGGUGGUGGAAUUUCCUGUGUAGCGGUGAAAUGCGUAGAUAUAGGAAGGAACAUCAGUGGCGAAGGCGACCACCUGGACUGAUACUGACACUGAGGUGCGAAAGCGUGGGGAGCAAACAGGAUUAGAUACCCCUGUAGUCCCUGUCUCUUAUAA